CCUACGGGGGGCAGCAGUGGGGAAUAUUGGACAAUGGGGGCAACCCUGAUCCAGCCAUGCCGCGUGUGUGAAGAAGGCCCUCGGGUUGUAAAGCACUUUCAGUGAGGAAGAACGCCUGGUGGUUAAUACCCAUCAGGAAAGACAUCACUCACAGAAGAAGCACCGGCUAACUCCGUGCCAGCAGCCGCGGUAAUACGGAGGGUGCGAGCGUUAAUCGGAAUUACUGGGCGUAAAGCGCGCGUAGGUGGCUUGAUAAGCCGGUUGUGAAAGCCCCGGGCUCAACCUGGGAACGGCAUCCGGAACUGUCAAGCUAGAGUGCAGGAGAGGAAGGUAGAAUUCCCGGUGUAGCGGUGAAAUGCGUAGAGAUCGGGAGGAAUACCAGUGGCGAAGGCGGCCUUCUGGACUGACACUGACACUGAGGUGCGAAAGCGUGGGUAGCAAACAGGAUUAGAUACCUGAGUAGUC
rnacentral:rRNA from 1 species